CAGUAGCCACGGUAAUACGGAGGGUGCAAGCGUUAAUCGGAAUUACUGGGCGUAAAGCGCACGCAGGCGGUCUGUCAAGUCGGAUGUGAAAUCCCCGGGCUCAACCUGGGAACUGCAUUCGAAACUGGCAGGCUAGAGUCUUGUAGAGGGGGGUAGAAUUCCAGGUGUAGCGGUGAAAUGCGUAGAGAUCUGGAGGAAUACCGGUGGCGAAGGCGGCCCCCUGGACAAAGACUGACGCUCAGGUGCGAAAGCGUGGGGAGCAAACAGGAUUAGAGACCCCUGUAGUCCCUGUCUCUUAUAC
rnacentral:rRNA from 1 species